CCAAAAAGGUGUGGCCGGGGGGAGGUGCGAUAGGAGUUUUAUGCUCACAGAGACUGGAUGAAGAGCUUCACCCCAGCACCCAUAUCCGCACCGAGGAAUGAAUCCAGCCCUUACAGGUUAGUGUUCUUCUCCCGCCCUGCCAUCCCCACCGCACUUAAAACCUUGAUAGUUCUUGGCAUCCGGGAGGAUAACUUGCCUUUCGUGGUGGUGAGCGUUUAUAUCACUCACCUGCAAAGAGAUUUCUUUUUUUUCUGAAGGGCCUGCUUAAGCGCUUCCUCAGAGCACUCAACCACUAACAUCUCUAGGAAGUCAGACCGUGCGGUGACCGGCUGCCGUAGAGAAAGAACGCCGCCUCCCUCCUCUCCCACACACUUGGUUCAAGCGUGAAGGGAGGAAAGGAAGAAAUCGGGGUUGUCUGCUAGGCGGAAAAUCCGUUUAGCUAAAUUAGGAAGCUGACUAGCCGUCUUUCCCCGGGGUUGGCAUGGAAACGAGAUGGCAGCUCCGCAAAAACGGAAAACCGUAUUUCAAAGAGCUGGAUCGGGUAGACGCAGCAAGGCCGAGUCAUCACCAGCCCAGUAAUCAGUCCUGGGGAGAAGAGUCCUCUUGACCGGGAAGUGUGGAGAGGUUCCUGCGGGGCUCGGAAAUGAGCUGCUCCGUCUCUUCCCAUCAUCCGGACUCCUCGGACAUCCCCCUCCAGAAGACUCUGAGAUAUCACAAACCGUGGGAGACGCCCGAGAUGAGGGAGAUAUCAGAGCUCCAGACGAGGAAGAAAUCAGAGGCGACGGAGAUCCACACUGCACAGCGAAGAUCCUAUCCUCACGGCUGUGGUGACUCCGAUAAGUCUGUGACCAGGUUAACGACUGGCAGGUCGCAACCUAGUCUAUUCUUCGGCCACCUUCCCUCUUAG
rnacentral:lncRNA from 1 species